AUUUAAAGCAAAUCUGGCAAUUCAAACACCUGUGAACCUCAAAUAUUCCUCCUCUCUCCCCCCCCUCCCCCCCCCAUUAGGCUGAGUGUAAGGGUGAGGUAAUUAUGGAUGCCAACAUAAUUAACUUUGGCUGUCUUUCAUUUUAAUUCUUAAAACUAGACUUGCUAACGUGUGGAAACAGGAAUAACCUUGUGCAGCUGUUGGACUGUUUUCCUUGAUGCCCUGCACUCCAGCCUGGAGGAGGAGUUUUGACCAUGAGAGCCACUACAAUAAACUGACCAUUUGCUGAAGCUGUUUUUCCUGAGAGGUGUGUUCAAUAAAUACUCAUACAGCAGUUGAAGCACGUGGCCAAUGAACACAGAACAUUAUCGUAAGGUGAUGUGUGUUGCCUUCCCAAAUGGCAUGGAAGCCAUGUGAAAUACAUGAUGGUGUUCCCAUGGCACUGCCUACGGAUGGUCCUAUCAAAGGAUGUAUGAAGUGCUGGGGAAAUCCACUCACAGUGAUAGGAAAAAAAUCUGCGUUAAUUUAACUUUAUAUUGGUUUAAGUGUAAUAAGCUGGCUUAGUGGAGGCAAUGGACAAAAUACUUCUGAACAGAAGUGGGGAAAUAGUUACUGAAGAAGUAUGAAAGCAAAGUACAAAAAAAAAAAAAAAAAACAACCAACAGAGUGAAGAAAAUGUCAAAUGCCCCACUCAAAAAAAGCUUAGCACUCUCACUGUGAGAGUAUUGAACAGGGCAUAGGAAAGGAUUGGAAGUUCAGCGAUGAGAAUGCUACGUGUAGAAUCAUGUGGGAAAAUGAGGGCUUUGAGGGCAUAUCUAUAAGCAAACAGAUUUGUCUUAAAUAAUAUAGAAUUUUAAUUUUUUCAUGUAAGUGAUUUUGUGGAUUUUAGUAAAUGAGUAAAUGUACAAGAAAAUCUAAAUAAAAUUCCAAGC
rnacentral:lncRNA from 1 species